GCACACAUUUUAUUUGAAAGCAUUGAAUAAGUAGCUCAGGCUCUCGCUCAGACUUAAGGGGCUGAUGAACUACGCCCCCGCCGCAACCAGCUUUCUCUGCACCCCAAUCCAGCCCCGCUCCAGACGACGGGCUUAGAUUCUGCUAUCACGUAGGCAGUGAGCCUGGGGAAGAUGCGAUGCCUCCCUUGAAACCAUCAAGACAGAUAUCCGCUGGUUUUAGGGUGUCCCCCAAGGCAAGCAUCUGGGACGCCUCCGGCAUAUGCUCGCCCUCGGGGCCCGACCAGGAGGCUCCAGCUUUGCAAGGCGCCACCGCCCAGAGCUCAGGUCUGGGUUGGAAGGGUGGGCGGCACCGCCUCAGGGUACGUUCUCCCGACUUCGGAGAGAAAGAAAGGAAGAAAUGCACCCUAGGAAAAGGGGCUUCGACUUUUUGUGCCUGUGCUUUCAUGGAAGUCACCAGCUCUCGGCUGCUUAAGAUGCUACUCAGAAGCGCGCCCAGCCAGGCUGUGGCCAUCCGCGCCAAGUCCUCGUGUCCUGGUCGACGAGCACUUUGGGUAGCACCGCGACACACAAUAGCCACCACGGUUAGGAGAUAUGCUCGCUAUGCUUACCUGUUGGCAAAAAUAAAAUGCAAAAUAAAAAUUUAAAUUUGGAAACUAACACAUGGUGACAUCUUCUAGAACCACAGCUCUUUCUUCAGACAAAAGCCAAUUUUACCAUCCCGCAAACCCAUUGAGCCCUGGAAGUUCCGUUCGCGGCACUUUGGCGCCCUCUGGCUUUAUCAGGGUGGCUUGCUUGUUCUGCUUCGUCCUGAAAGAAUAGCGGAGGGGGGGGGGAAUGGAAAUGUAUGUUGCCUUCUUGGUUGGAUCUCCCCUCAUGAGUGAAGCACAGAUUUGGGAUGAGCUUGCCCUCCACGUCCGGAAUAACGAAACACAACUACAUUUAGGGAGACGAAUGCCAAAGGUAACAGGAACACCAGGAAAGGAGGAGACUGAAAUGGAUGAAGGAAGGGUCACCACCACCACCCCUUGGGCCAGGAAAGAAACCUGGCAGCUGUGAAGAAGGAAAAUGGUUUUCUACAACUACUUCUUGUGAGAGGCAGUCCCAUGGUAGCUCACUGCAUCUCAUCCUAUUGAGCAAGGGCUCUUAACAUCAUCCCUCUGGGUUCAUGUUUACCUGCCUCUGGACUGAAUAGUCAUCUAUUUCCAAACUUUUGUGAGUCUAGAUGUCAAGCUCAACUUAUCAGUGAAACACAUGAGGUCAUCCGAAAUGCUGACAAAAGACAGUUGGGGUACAAUGGAAAUCCAGACCUUGACUGUAUGCUAAGAAUGAGUAAGCACGACUGAACACAGCAUCCGCUUAGAGAUGUUCUCAAAGCCAAGCCAUCCCACUGAGCAUGUUAUUCUCACAGCACCUUUAAAAGAAGUUUGUUUUCCCAAAUUGAGAUAAAGGAGUGGGCGCAGCUUGUUGGAGUAAGACACCAACGGAAUCCUCUUGGGGGUUCCACCAUUUGGAACUGCAACAUCCAUUGCUGGCCCCAGCCUGAGAUGGCUGUUCCUCCUUUGAUGUUGAGAUGGUGCCUGACCCACGAGCUACAGCAAAUCAGCUGAGUCACUCAGAUAGUAACCUGUUCAUAUACCAGGCUGCAUGCUGGGUCAGUCAUCUGCCUAUGGUGAAACAGAGGGGAGCCAUGGAAUGGAUCGUUACCAACUUGGAUUCUUGGGAUCAAACACAGAUAUUCAAAGGAGACUUCCUGGCUAAACACUUUACAAAAAUAGAUUUACAAAAAACAAGGGAAAAAAAAAACAACAACAACGAAAACACAAGUACUGAGAGUCCCUCUGUGUUACCCCAACAGCGUGUAGCAGUAGCUAUGAAGGCACAGGCAUGUUUGUGAGUGCCGGUACGCGUGGAGGACAGAGGGCAGCUCCUAAGAGGAGGUCCUCUCCUCUACCUUGUGAGCUCAAGUCUCCAGGCCUGUGCGCAAGAAGCUCUAUGCCCGAGACACUUCUCUGUUUCUGUCUCUCAAUUUUGGAUUAAUUUCUCUACACCUUUGUGGCAUAACCUUCCUGGUCAUCAGACAACUAGCAAAAUCCCAGCUGAUUCAUGUGUGCACGUGUGGGUUCUGCAUAGGUUCCCAUGCCUGAGGUCAGCCCAGGAGGCCAGAAGAGGGCUUUGGAUCCUAAGCAACUGAAAUUAUAGAUGGUUGUGGGAGACCACAUAGGUACUAGAAACAGAACCUGGGUCAUCUGCAAGUACAGGAAGUGUCCUUAACUUGAGCCAUUGCUCAAGCCCCUUGUGCACAGUGUAUUUUAUUAGAAGGAACAAAUAAUCAGAGUUAUCAUGUAACUUUGGGUUGAAUCCAAGGAAAGAAUAAAGGAACAGUUGCAAGACAGAGUGGAGAACAAAAGUUCAGCAGAUGCUGGAGGACGAAAGUCGAAGUUACUAGUCAGGACAGGUAUGCGCAGGAAAUUUGACAAUAGCAUUGACCUUCUGUGGUCUCCAGGCCGGGAGAGUUGAGUAGAUCUAAUCUAGCUCUCAGACAAGGGUGGGAAUACCCUGUUGACGUUGGGCUUACUCUGUAUGUGACUCCACUGUAUCUGGAUCUCCUCCCGGUUGACACACUAAGCGACAAAUGAUUCAAGGACAGAAGUACCCUCAAUUAAGCAAAGUGAUUGUUUUAAAAGGAGUAACAAAUAUUAACACAUUACUUGGGGGAAACCAGGAAAGGGGAUAACAUUUGAAAUGCAAAUAAAGAAAAUAUCUAAUAAAAAUGUUUAAUUAAAAAAAA
rnacentral:lncRNA from 1 species